rnacentral:rRNA from 1 species
GACGAACGCUGGCGGCGUGCUUGACACAUGCAAGUCGAACGGUAAGGCUCCAGCUUGCUGGGGUACACGAGUGGCGAACGGGUGAGUAACACGUGGGUGACCUGCCCUGCACUUCGGGAUAAGCCUGGGAAACUGGGUCUAAUACCGGAUAGGACCGCACCGUGAGGGUGUGGUGGAAAGUUUUUUCGGUGUGGGAUGGGCCCGCGGCCUAUCAGCUUGUUGGUGGGGUAAUGGCCUACCAAGGCGGCGACGGGUAGCCGGCCUGAGAGGGUGGACGGCCACAUUGGGACUGAGACACGGCCCAGACUCCUACGGGAGGCAGCAGUGGGGAAUAUUGCACAAUGGGCGGAAGCCUGAUGCAGCGACGCCGCGUGGGGGAUGACGGCCUUCGGGUUGUAAACUCCUUUCACCAUCGACGAAGGGUUUCUGACGGUAGAUGGAGAAGAAGCACCGGCUAACUACGUGCCAGCAGCCGCGGUAAUACGUAGGGUGCGAGCGUUGUCCGGAAUUACUGGGCGUAAAGAGCUCGUAGGUGGUUUGUCGCGUCGUCUGUGAAAUUCCGGGGCUUAACUCCGGGCGUGCAGGCGAUACGGGCAUAACUUGAGUACUGUAGGGGAGACUGGAAUUCCUGGUGUAGCGGUGAAAUGCGCAGAUAUCAGGAGGAACACCGGUGGCGAAGGCGGGUCUCUGGGCAGUAACUGACGCUGAGGAGCGAAAGCAUGGGGAGCGAACAGGAUUAGAUACCCUGGUAGUCCAUGCCGUAAACGGUGGGCGCUAGGUGUGGGUUUCCUUCCACGGGAUCCGUGCCGUAGCUAACGCAUUAAGCGCCCCGCCUGGGGAGUACGGCCGCAAGGCUAAAACUCAAAGGAAUUGACGGGGGCCCGCACAAGCGGCGGAGCAUGUGGAUUAAUUCGAUGCAACGCGAAGAACCUUACCUGGGCUUGACAUAUACAGGAUCGCGCCAGAGAUGGUGUUUCCCUUGUGGCUUGUAUACAGGUGGUGCAUGGUUGUCGUCAGCUCGUGUCGUGAGAUGUUGGGUUAAGUCCCGCAACGAGCGCAACCCUUGUCUUAUGUUGCCAGCACGUUGUGGUGGGGACUCGUAAGAAACUGCCGGGGUUAACUCGGAGGAAGGUGGGGAUGACGUCAAAUCAUCAUGCCCCUUAUGUCCAGGGCUUCACACAUGCUACAAUGGUCGGUACAGUGGGUUGCCAGUCCGUGAGGGCGAGCUAAUCCCGCAAAGCCGGUCUCAGUUCGGAUCGGGGUCUGCAACUCGACCCCGUGAAGUCGGAGUCGCUAGUAAUCGCAGAUCAGCAACGCUGCGGUGAAUACGUUCCCGGGCCU